rnacentral:rRNA from 1 species
UACGUAGGGUGCAAGCGUUAAUCGGAAUUACUGGGCGUAAAGCGUGCGCAGGCGGUUGUGCAAGACCGAUGUGAAAUCCCCGGGCUUAACCUGGGAAUGGCAUUGGUGACUGCACGGCUAGAGUGUGUCAGAGGGGGGUAGAAUUCCACGUGUAGCAGUGAAAUGCGUAGAGAUCGGCAGGAACACCCAGGGGGAAACCAGCCGACUGGGCAUCUGCUGACGCUGAUGUGCGAGAGCGUGGGGAGCGAGCCGG